UACAGAGGUCCCAAGCGUUGUUCGGAUUCACUGGGCGUAAAGGGUGCGUAGGUGGCGAGGUAAGUCGGGUGUGAAAUCUUGGAGCUUAACUCCGAAACUGCAUUCGAUACUGCCGUGCUUGAGGACUGGAGAGGAGACUGGAAUUUACGGUGUAGCGGUGAAAUGCGUAGAUAUCGUAAGGAAGACCAGUGGCGAAGGCGGGUCUCUGGACAGUUCCUGACGCUGAAGCACGAAGGGCCAGGGGAGCAAACGGG
rnacentral:rRNA from 1 species